CCUACGGGCGGCUGCAGUGGGGAAUAUUGCACAAUGGGCGCAAGCCUGAUGCAGCCAUGCCGCGUGUGUGAAGAAGGCCUUCGGGUUGUAAAGCACUUUCAGCGGGGAGGAAGGCGGAGAGGUUAAUAACCUCAUCGAUUGACGUUACCCGCAGAAGAAGCACCGGCUAACUCCGUGCCAGCAGCCGCGGUAAUACGGAGGGUGCAAGCGUUAAUCGGAAUUACUGGGCGUAAAGCGCACGCAGGCGGUCUGUCAAGUCGGAUGUGAAAUCCCCGGGCUCAACCUGGGAACUGCAUUCGAAACUGGCAGGCUAGAGUCUUGUAGAGGGGGGUAGAAUUCCAGGUGUAGCGGUGAAAUGCGUAGAGAUCUGGAGGAAUACCGGUGGCGAAGGCGGCCCCCUGGACAAAGACUGACGCUCAGGUGCGAAAGCGUGGGGAGCAAACAGGAUUAGAUACCCGUGUAGUC
rnacentral:rRNA from 1 species